GAUGAACGCUGGCGGCGUGCCUAAUACAUGCAAGUCGAGCGAACGGACGAGAAGCUUGCUUUUCUGAUGUUAGCGGCGGACGGGUGAGUAACACGUGGAUAACCUACCUAUAAGACUGGGAUAACUUCGGGAAACCGGAGCUAAUACCGGAUAAUAUUUUGAACCGCAUGGUUCAAAAGUGAAAGACGGUCUUGCUGUCACUUAUAGAUGGAUCCGCGCUGCAUUAGCUAGUUGGUAAGGUAACGGCUUACCAAGGCAACGAUGCAUAGCCGACCUGAGAGGGUGAUCGGCCACACUGGAACUGAGAAACGGUCCAGACUCCUACGGGAGGCAGCAGUAGGGAAUCUUCCGCAAUGGGCGAAAGCCUGACGGAGCAACGCCGCGUGAGUGAUGAAGGUCUUCGGAUCGUAAAACUCUGUUAUUAGGGAAGAACAUAUGUGUAAGUAACUGUGCACAUCUUGACGGUACCUAAUCAGAAAGCCACGGCUAACUACGU
rnacentral:rRNA from 1 species